rnacentral:rRNA from 1 species
GAUGAACGCUGGCGGCGUGCCUAAUACAUGCAAGUCGAGCGAACGGACGAGAAGCUUGCUUCUCUGAUGUUAGCGGCGGACGGGUGAGUAACACGUGGAUAACCUACCUAUAAGACUGGGAUAACUUCGGGAAACCGGAGCUAAUACCGGAUAAUAUUUUGAACCGCAUGGUUCAAAAGUAAAAGACGGUCUUGCUGUCACUUAUAGAUGGAUCCGCGCUGCAUUAGCUAGUUGGUAAGGUAACGGCUUACCAAGGCAACGAUGCAUAGCCGACCUGAGAGGGUGAUCGGCCACACUGGAACUGAGACACGGUCCAGACUCCUACGGGAGGCAGCAGUAGGGAAUCUUCCGCAAUGGGCGAAAGCCUGACGGAGCAACGCCGCGUGAGUGAUGAAGGUCUUCGGAUCGUAAAACUCUGUUAUUAGGGAAGAACAUAUGUGUAAGUAACUGUGCACAUCUGGACGGUACCUAAGCAGAAAGCCACGGCUAACUACGU